rnacentral:rRNA from 1 species
UGGGGAAUAUUGCACAAUGGGGGAAACCCUGAUGCAGCGACGCCGCGUGAGCGAAGAAGUAUUUCGGUAUGUAAAGCUCUAUCAGCAGGGAAGAAAAUGACGGUACCUGACUAAGAAGCUCCGGCUAAAUACGUGCCAGCAGCCGCGGUAAUACGUAUGGAGCAAGCGUUAUCCGGAUUUACUGGGUGUAAAGGGAGCGUAGGCGGUAAGGCAAGUCUGAUGUGAAAGGCCAGGGCUCAACCCUGGGACUGCAUUGGAAACUGUUUAACUGGAGUGUCGGAGAGGCAAGUGGAAUUCCUAGUGUAGCGGUGAAAUGCGUAGAUAUUAGGAGGAACACCAGUGGCGAAGGCGGCUUGCUGGACGAUGACUGACGCUGAGGCUCGAAAGCGUGGGGAGCAAACAGG